UACAGAGGGUGCUAGCGUUGUUCGGAAUUAUUGGGCGUAAAGGGCGCGUAGGCGGCCCUGUGUGUCGGGUGUGAAAGCCCACCUCUUAAAGGUGGAAUUGCAUUCGAAACUACAGGGCUGGAGUGUCGGAGAGGAUGGCGGAAUUCCUGGUGUAGAGGUGAAAUUCGUAGAUAUCAGGAGGAACACCGGUGGCGAAGGCGGCAUCCUGGACCGGCAUUGACGCUGAGGCGCGAAAGCCAGGGGAGCAAAGCGGGAU
rnacentral:rRNA from 1 species